rnacentral:rRNA from 1 species
ACUGGGAUUAGAUACCCCACUAUGCUUAGCCUUAAACAUAAAUAAUUUAUUAAACAAAAUUAUUCGCCAGAGAACUACUAGCAACAGCUUAAAACUCAAAGGACUUGGCGGUGCUUUAAACCCCCCUAGAGGAGCCUGUUCUAUAAUCGA